rnacentral:rRNA from 1 species
GUACACUCCUGCGGGAGGCAGCAGUGGGGAAUAUUGGACAAUGGGCGCAAGCCUGAUCCAGCCAUGCCGCGUGAGUGAUGAAGGCCCUAGGGUUGUAAAGCUCUUUCACCGGUGAAGAUAAUGACGGUAACCGGAGAAGAAGCCCCGGCUAACUUCGUGCCAGCAGCCGCGGUAAUACGAAGGGGGCUAGCGUUGUUCGGAUUUACUGGGCGUAAAGCGCACGUAGGCGGACUAUUAAGUCAGGGGUGAAAUCCCGGGGCUCAACCCCGGAACUGCCUUUGAUACUGGUAGUCUUGAGUUCGGGAGAGGUGAGUGGAAUUCCGAGUGUAGAGGUGAAAUUCGUAGAUAUUCGGAGGAACACCAGUGGCGAAGGCGGCUCACUGGCUCGAUACUGACGCUGAGGUGCGAAAGCGUGGGGAGCAAACAGGAUUAGAUACCCCAGUAGUCCC